GAAGUAUUUUGAUCUGAGCUACGGUUUAUUUUAUAUCAAUUAUCAAAGAUUUAAAGAUUUUCUGGAAUAUUUUUAGUUAAUGUAAUCCAAAUUUGACCAAGUCAAAAUGAUUAGUCAAAAAGGGGGAUGUGGCCCACAUGUCAUUGGUACAUAAUUUAAUUGAUGGCUAAACUAAAAUGGAGGGGUUAAAAUUAACAUAGGGGGCCACAUGACAUAGGCUAGCAAUUAUCCUAAGUAGUACUAAUUAGUCUAACUACUCUGACCACUAAGUAUUUAAUCAGCCUAAACUAAUCAGGGCCAUCCCCACUUGGUAUUGAGCCAGCCCUGCCUCCCACGCACACACACAACACACUCACGCACACAGCUCUGUUUCUGCUAACAAAAGAUAGCAUUUUGUGGUUUUCGUCGAAUUUAAUGCAUGCACCAAAUGGAUUUGGCCCUGGAAACAUUUGAGCAUUGUCAAGUGUACUACCUCCCCAUAAUAGUUUUGCUCCAGUUAAAAGUCGUUUAGUCGCUGUUUAGGGGCCGUCCAGAGGGUUAGUCGUGGUAGAAAAUGAAAAGCUAGCAAUAGCUACAGUAACUGAAUGUUACUGAAGCUGUGCAACAUUGCAGCAGGCACCGGCUACGCGCGCCCGCGUGCGGCAGCGUUAGUGGUGGUGAGCAGCGCGGCUGCAGGAAGCAGAGUAGCGGGGCGAGAGGGCGCGAGGCAGGGAACGCCGGGAGCAGCGGCUAGCAACGGGCGGAGCAGCACGCUGGGCGAGAAGCGCCCGAGGAGCAGCGAGGGCAGCGGGCGAUGAGCUGCAGCGGCGAGGGCCGCGCGGCUGCGAGCGGGGCUGCUGGCGGAGGAGGGCCGUGGCGGCUGGGCGCGCGCGGCAGAGCGGUCGAGGGGGCAGAGGCACAGCGGGGCAACGAUGGCAGAAGCAGACAGCAGUAGCGCAGCUCAUAGCAGGUAGCAGCGGCAUCGGGCGUAGGCAGGCGCAGGGCGUGCGCCGGAGCGCGUUAGGUUCGCAGGCUUCGCGCGGUGGGCACGGACGCGAUGCCAGGAGGGCACGACGACGACUACAGGGGGCCGCGGGACGCAUGGGGGCGGCCAACACGAGCACGCACGGGCGGCAGAGCAUGGCGCAGUGGCGGCGUGGUUACGGCUACGGGGAGAGGGAGGAGAAUCGGGGGCUCACGACCGUUGCAGAGAAGGCCCGGGGAAGACGUGCGGCGGCCAGAGAUGAAGAAGGCGACGGCGACCCAAUCGAGGCGGACGGAGGGGUAGAAGAAGACGACAUCGAGGCGUCCCGUCAUCUUCAACCCCGCGACGCAGGCGAUGUAGUCGAUGCCGAGGACCUCCCGGGACAUGAGCGGACGAAGUACAAGGGACGGUGGCCACGCACACGGCGCGGCAACGACGACAAGCCCGCUCGGGCGAGCACAUCUCGGCGGAUCUGAGAAGGGGAGGGGAGAGGGAGAUAUUUGUGCGAGGGGAGCUGACGAGGCCGAGGGGGAGGGUCGCGUCGUUCUUAUCCCCUCCGGGGCAACACCGACGAUGUGGUGCGGCGGGGACGCGCGGGAGGAGCCCUGGUCCGAUGAACAGGGAAAGAGGAGGAUGACCGGGGAGGUGGGCUACGGGGUUGGGCCGCCAGAUGGCUAAGGUCCAGGGGGUAGUGGGCCUCUCUCUCACGUUUGUUUUCUUUAACAGUUUUCUUUUCCUUUUAAACUUUCUGUUUAUUAAAAUUUAGCCUCGGCUCCAUAUUUUCUUUUAGUAACAGAUGAGUUUUGUUUUGAACGAAACUUGGCACCUAAUUCUAACACAAUAUAAUGAGAUGGAACAAAAAGUAUGGAGUGAAAAGGAGAUGUCUAACCAUUAUAGAAAUUGAGAAGGCCAAUUUUAAAUGUUGCUGGACCACUAAAUAAUUUCCAGGGGCACUUUGGGAAUCCAAAAGAGAUUGUUUCCAACAUGAAAAAUAUACAUGGAUUAUUUUCCACACCUUGAACAUUUUUAUUUUGAAGUUUGACGAAUUUGAAAUUUUGACUUUAGAUUGGAUUCGAAUUUGAAUUGCGAUUUGGAUCAAGUGAAGAUUAGCAACAGUAACAUGAUGUCAUGGCACCAUUAACAGGGGAGUACUGUAGCAUGACACUGGGGGUGUUACAAAUCUCCUCCACUAAAAGAAAUCUCGUCCGGACAUUUAAGUGGGGAUGUAAAGAGUAACUUCGGGAGAACUGACCCUUAAAGGGUUAAUUAUCUGGUGAACAAUUCAGGGAAAGAGGCAAAAGUAUCUCUCGAGUCGAAACUUAAUAAAACAUCGAGAGAAAAGUAUGAAGGUACAAUAGGAAGUUUCAACUGAAUGGACAAACAAUUGAUACCUGAACAAAGUGUGAGAAAGGGGGUCUAAAGCAUCGGGAAUAGAUCAUCUCUCGGAAGGUGGCUCGUGACAACACACAAAGCCAAGAGCAUAUGAUACUUCAAAUAAAAGAUAUACAGGAGAGUCGGGUUCCGAUCCUGUGGAACUGUGGGUUAUGGGCCCACCAUGUGGGUUAAAAGUAGGAAGGGUGUUGGCAUCUUGCACGGUUAUGAUAGCAAGGUAUGUCAGAGGGUAGCCUAUCAGUUAUGUCGGCAACAACGUUGGUACCAAGGGCGAGGGACAAAGAGAACCAUUAUCCUGCUCGUUGAACGAGGCAGGCCAAUAGGCAAAGUUCUCGUCCAUCGGUGGCUACCAGAAAGUCGUCCACAAUAGUAAUAGGGUCUUACGGACAGUUUGUACACCGAGGUGUUUACAUAAGCAGGGAAAUAUUUCUGCUUAUAUCAUAUAGAUCACUAGAAAGGUCAAACAAACCAAUGAAAAGGAAAAUGUGAUCUUCAGGUUAAGCAGAACAAUGGAAAGGAAAAAUGUGUCUAAACACAUAUUUCAGGGGUAUAUCCUUCCCAAGGACAAGUAGAGCAUGAUAUCCAUGACAGGAUAGAAGUAUAGAACCAUUUAGGUAAGGGGGAAGAAAAUUCCUGACAUUACCCAUACAAUGGUGUUUGGAUAAUUGAUAAAAAAAAUUAGUAUCGUGCUUCAAAUGUUCUCAUUGGAGAUCGGAUCACCACAGACAUGCUUUGACAUAGCAUUGACAUGGUUUCAAGCAAAGGUUGGACUUUGGAUACACCAAGGAUCCAUCGGGAAUUUCUAGAACAUAACAUGUUAUUUUAUCAGGAAAAAUAUGAGGAGGUGACCGAUGGGUUUAGUAGCAAUCCAUCGACAUGUCAACAAGGAUGUAUUUCCAAAAUUAUAUGAACUAGUUUGUGUUGGGGAAGGCAAGAAUGUUAUCGAUGAUAACAUAAAUCAUUGAGGGGAAGGAUUGUAUUUCUCAUCAUGAAUUCGAUUGAUAUCCUAGAAAAGCUCAGAAUGUUGAUGAUGAUCACGACACAUUUGUCGAGAUAUUUCAUGAAGAGGUAAUUGAUCAGCGAUGACAUUCAGUCAAAGAAAUGAUGAAGCAAAAGGUUAUUGGAACCAUGGGUAUGACACAAGCUCAAAGUCAAGCUUGUUGUUCGAGGUGAAAUGCUAAGAUGAGGAAGAUCGACGUAAGCUUAGCUCAUCGUCGAAAGUUGCUCUGGGCAUACGGAUCAGGUAGCCCAGUUAAAAAGUUGACAUGAUAAAAAUAUAGCCGAUCAGGCUAGGAAUGAUGUGAUGAGGUGUAAAGCUUCCCAGUAUCAAGUACUAGGUGUAAUGCCAGAAGGUAAAUCGGACUAGAGGUUGGACGGGGGAAAUGAUUUGCAGAGGAUAAGUAUUUUAACUUAUCUAGUAAAUGGAAUCAAGGAGGAAAUAUGGUCGGAAUGACGAUAGCAAGGAUCAAUUCAUGGAUACAAGAUGAGCUUGUACCCAAGAAAUAAUUAUUUUUAUGAGCAGCUUCCAUGAUAAGUUCUACAUCGGGUCCAUGGGCAUGAACACAAAGGUUCAAGGUCGACUCCCACUUCUUCAAUGCAUAACCUUUCAUUCACUCCUCGUUCUCGAAGAAAUUGUAGUGCAGAAGAUUUAUCUGGUGAAGUACCAGAAGAGUAAGACUCACAUCUCUUUUGAGUUCACAUGGGUUAGGGAAGGAAUAUGAUCAACCCGUAGGGGUAUCUUAGGAACACCUACCACUAACUUCGAGAGCAUAUAACAUCAGCUCAAUAGCAGAGCAUGGUUUACAAUAAGCAGAGGAUACAAUUUACCAAAGGCAAUAUGUAUCAGGGGAAGAGUGCAUGAGAUUUUGAAUAUGAAAGACAUUGCUGGAUAACAAUCCCACAAAGGAUUGAGCGGUCCUCAAUGGAUCUGAUGUGAGUAUUAGUACUCAAUCAGAAGGGGAAAAGAAUGCAAAGGCAACAGAUUAUAGAAAUAGCUGAAUAAUUCGACAUUCAAGUUGAAGGGAACUAGGUGGACAAUCAUUACAACAUGAUUGGCCGAUAUCCAACUCAUGUCUAGAAUGACGUAUGAGCAGGAAGGUCAAAUUUCAGGGUUCGACUGAUGAUUGCGAGCAAUCGCAACAUAAAGAAUCAAUAGGCUUAGGAUGACAAGGACAAAGGAUGUUAAUGAAUAUUGCUAGACAUAUGGAUUUAACCAUAAUGCAGGCAGACAAGACUUUCGGGAGCACUAGGCUGCAGAGGAUCUUUGGGAGAUCGAAUUGCAUUCGAAGAAAUUUGGUGAGACAUAAUAUCAACUGGGAUGAACGAAUCUCCGAUAAGUAUGAGGAAUUUUUCGUAGGGUUAUUCAGGCGGAAAAGAGCUACAAGGCAAUCGGAAAAAGGAUUCUAGAAAGUCAAAGAAUACUUUCAGGUAUCUUGUAACAACAAGAAUGACUAGGGAUGGAAGUAAGAACAGUGAGGGUACACGUUUAUCCAUAAGGAUUCAACGGUGUUAAGGGGUUGCAAAAGAAAUAAACACAAGUUGUCGGGAGUAGAUCAGAGAGUAUCUUCGAAUUCUUCUGGUGAAGCAGGCAACCAUCCGGAAUGAAGGGGCUCUCCGGGGAAAGUCGUUACGAGAACCUAAUGUAGUUAGUAAAUUCAUUUAACCCUGAAUAGAAGAGAGAACAGAGUCCCAGAGUAUAGACGAGGAGUAAAAGAUCCUAAUACCACCCAUAUGGCGACGCGGGCCCGUACGGCACACAUCCAUGUUAGUAAAAAGUUUUGUAAUGUCUAGACUCAACUUCGGCCAAGGAGUGUGGAAGGGGGAUUCCUACAGGCAGUCGGCUCUGAUACCAACUUGUGACGCCCUCGAUUCAAUCGUACACUAAUCAUACACGCAAAUGUGUACGAUCAAGAUCAAGGACUCACGGGAAGAUAUCACAACACAACUAUAGACACAAAUUAAAAAGAUACAAGCUUUAUAUUACAAGCCAGGGGCCUAUAGGGCUCGAAUACAUAAGCUCGUAAACACAAGAGUCAGCGGAAGCAACAAUAUCUGAGUACAGACAUGAGUUAAACAAGAUUGCCUUAAGAAGGCUAGCACAAAAGCAACAACGAUCGAAAAGGCAAGGCCUCCUGCCUGGGAGCCUCCUAACUACUCCUAGUCGUCUACGGUCUUCACGUAGUAGUAGGCAUCCUCCGGGUAGUAGUAGUCAUCAGUGGCGUCGUCUGGCUCCUAGGAUCCAUCAUCUGGUCGCAACAAUCGGGUAUGGGGGAAAAGAAGUAGCAAAGAAACCGUGAGUACUCAUCCAAAGUACUCGCAAGACUUACAUCAGAUCUAAACUAAGUAUGCAUCUGUAUCAAAGGAAUGGGUUGUAUCUGUGGACUAAACUGCAGAAAGCCAGAAGGGAAGGGAAAAGCCUAGCCUAUCGAAGACUAGCAUCUUCUGGAGACAACCAUCUUGUAGCAACAGGAGGGAGUAGAGAAGCAUAAAGUAAGGCAGUAGAAGUGUUAUCAACCUCGGCCAGAGAUCCUUUCUCGACUCCCUGCGAGAAAGCAAUCCCAAAGCCAUACUAUCCAGUUAUCAUCACAAUCCAGUUCUCAUCAUCAUCCAGUUCUCAUCACAAGUAUUCAGUUCUAGUUGUAUCGAUCGGGAUACAACUCCAAGUGUCCGUUACCGUAGGACAGGCUAUCGAUAGAUGUUUUCUUCCCUGCAGGGGUGCACCAACUUACCCACCACGCUUGAUUAACUCCGGCCGGACACACUUUCCUGGGUCAUGCACGGCCUCGGCCAAACAAUACGCCGCAACCCGACCUAGGCUUAAUAGAGAGGCCAGCACGCCGGACUAAACCUAUGCCCCCAGGGGUCAUGGGCCAUCUCCCCGGGAACUCCUGCAUGUUGCGUGGGCGGCCGGUGAGCAGACCUAGCUACCUCCUUCAACAAGGUAGGUGCUUUCCAGUCCAAGGCGGCGCGCGCCGCUCAGUCGCUGACAUCUAUUAAGCUUUGGCUGAUGUAUACGACGCUGAAUGCCCAUACUAUGCCCACAUGAUGGUUAGUGCUAUCAGGCUAGAGGCCCCUCGGAUCAAAUAUCCAAAUCGUAGUGGAUUAGGAACGCGCGGUAAUGAGCAGAGACUCACGAUUGAUGUGACCCCGUCUCCCCGUCUCGAGUACUUGCGACAAGGGCUAAGAAUUCCCGGCCACGCCUCGUAAGUAUCUCGUGGGCACCUUCCAGGUCAACCUGACUCCACAUCACUCACUAUUAAGCUCGCGCGGGUACCCCUCAGGGUCGUCCUGUAUUUAGUAACAUGGCUCAGUGUAAAGUCAUAGUAAUCAUAGUAACUAUGUGUCUAACAACAAAGGGAAAACCCGAGGAAUCACCCUCGGUGAAUUCCACUCAAUGUUGUCAUCAAGGUGAACGUAAGAGGAUCCACCCUCGAGGUUCACACUUGAGGGGUUGCAGGAUAGAGCCGUACCGGAGGUGGUUAAGGAGGAAAUCACCCUCGGUGACCACAAUCAGAUAGCUACACUACAAAGAUCUCAUCCGGAGUGAUGUGAGAGGUUCCACCCUCGGCACUCGAUGGUAACUCUGCAGAGUCGUACAACUAGGGGGGGUGAUGUGAAGUGUCGGGGCCUGGACGUUGACCGUCUUGAUCGAGUCAUCAAACAUAAAGCAAGGCAACUGGGACAAGGUGGGGGUCACUGAUGGAUCAUUAACCAUCCUAUACUAAGCAGUUUAGGAUAAGCAGGUAAGGUAUGAAAGCAGGUAAGAACAACAGGCUAUGCAUCAGAGUAGGAUCAUACAGAAAACAGUAGCAGUUCUAAUGCAAGCAUGAGAGGGAAAGAAAUGGGCGAUAUCGGAAUGCUCAAGGGGGGUUUGCUUGCCUGGUUGCUCUGGCAAGGAGGGAGGUCGUCGUCGACGUAGUCGAUCACAAGGGCAACAUCGGUCUCGGGGUCUAUCGGAGAGGAGAGGGGAAAGAAACAGUAAAUAUAAAGCAAACAUAGCAUCACAAAGCAUAAUGUGGCAAUAUGAUGUGCCGGGUGUGACCUAACGUAUGGCAACACGAUAUAGGUGAAGGGGGAAUUCAACCGGGAAUGUUUUCCCGGUUCCGGACCUGUGUCAGACAGAUGACCGGAGGGGGAAUGUUCAAGGUUCAGAUAGUUAGAGGCAUCUGUCAGGUAAACGGACCGCAUAUUCGUAUUCGUCUCAUCGUUCUGAGCAACUUUCAUGUAGGAAGUAUUUUGAUCUGAGCUACGGUUUAUUUUAUAUCAAUUAUCAAAGAUUUAAAGAUUUUCUAGAAUAUUUUUAGCUAAUGUAAUCCAAAUUUGACCAAGUCAAAAUGAUUAGUCAAAAAGGGGGAUGUGGCCCACAUGUCAUUGGCACAUAAUUUAAUUGAUGGCUAAACUAAAAUGGAGGGGUUAAAAUUAACAUAGGGGGCCACAUGACAUAGGCUAGCAAUUAUCCUAAGUAGUACUAAUUAGUCUAACUACU
rnacentral:lncRNA from 1 species